GACGAACGCUGGCGGCGUGCUUAACACAUGCAGGUCGAACGGUAAGGCCCUUCGGGGUACACGAGUGGCGAACGGGUGAGUAACACGUGGGUGAUCUGCCCUGCACUUCGGGAUAAGCCUGGGAAACUGGGUCUAAUACCGGAUAGGACCACUGCCUGCAUGGGUGGUGGUGGAAAGCUUUUGCGGUGUGGGAUGGGCCCGCGGCCUAUCAGCUUGUUGGUGGGGUGAUGGCCUACCAAGGCGACGACGGGUAGCCGGCCUGAGAGGGUGACCGGCCACACUGGGACUGGGAUACGGCACAGACUCCUACGGGAGGCAGCAGUGGGGAAUAUUGCACAAUGGGCGCAAGCCUGAUGCAGCGACGCCGCGUGAGGGAUGACGGCCUUCGGGUUGUAAACCUCUUUCAGCACCGACGAAGCGCAAGUGACGGUAGGUGCAGAAGAAGGACCGGCCAACUACGUGCCAGCCGCCGCAGUAA
rnacentral:rRNA from 1 species